rnacentral:rRNA from 1 species
GACGAACGCUGGCGGCGUGCUUAACACAUGCAAGUCGAACGGAAAGGCCCUGCUUUUGUGGGGUGCUCGAGUGGCGAACGGGUGAGUAACACGUGAGUAACCUGCCCUUGACUUUGGGAUAACUUCAGGAAACUGGGGCUAAUACCGGAUAGGAGCUCCUGCUGCAUGGUGGGGGUUGGAAAGUUUCGGCGGUUGGGGAUGGACUCGCGGCUUAUCAGCUUGUUGGUGAGGUAGUGGCUUACCAAGGCUUUGACGGGUAGCCGGCCUGAGAGGGUGACCGGCCACAUUGGGACGGAGAUACGGCCCAGACUCCUACGGGAGGCAGCAGUGGGGAAUAUUGCACAAUGGGCGGAAGCCUGAUGCAGCAACGCCGCGUGCGGGAUGACGGCCUUCGGGUUGUAAACCGCUUUCGCCUGUGACGAAGCGUGAGUGACGGUAAUGGGUAAAGAAGCACCGGCUAACUACGUG